GAGUGACUCCAAAUCGAUCCAACUGUCAACGCAUCCCCAAGUUACUGACACCUGUCCUUUUUUAAUACUGAUAUCACUCUUUUCGGCGCUUCUCUCUCCGCCGUGACAACAAAAAUGGCUGUUUCUCUCUCCGCCGCCUCUCACUUAACCAGAGUCUCUCUUUCCCCCUCCGUCGCCUCCUCCACCUCAGCUCCUCUUCUCGUUGCGGUUUCUUCCUCUACAUCAUCAUCGCCACAUUCUCUUUCUUCUCUUCGAAGCGUCGCAUCUUCCUUUCCUCAUUCCUCCCUCGUUCAGAAAAGGAAUCCGAUUUAUGGGAGGAGGAGCAAGGGGAUGAUUUCACCAAAAGGUGCCGCUUCUGAUGCAGCUCAAUUGAAAAGUGCUAAAGAAGACAUCAAAGUGCUUCUCCGGACUAAGUUUUGCCAUCCCAUUUUGGUUAGAUUAGGGUGGCACGACGCUGGUACAUAUAACAAGAACAUUGAGGAGUGGCCACAGAGAGGUGGAGCUAAUGGAAGUCUUAGAUUUGAGCCUGAGCUUAAACAUGCUGCUAAUGCUGGUCUCAUUAGUGCUUUAAAGCUCAUUCAACCUAUCAAAGACAAGUAUCCUAACAUCUCUUACGCCGAUUUAUUUCAAUUAGCUAGUGCCACUGGAGUAGAGGAAGCUGGUGGUCCUGAAAUCCCGAUGAAAUAUGGGAGAGUUGAUGUCGUAGCACCUGAGCAGUGUCCGGAAGAAGGAAGACUCCCUGGUUAACUAAUCUUUUCCAUUAUGCUGGACCUCCUUCACCAGCUGAUCAUUUGAGAGAUGUAUUCUACAGAAUGGGACUAAAUGACAAGGAAAUAGUUGCCCUGUCCGGGGCACAUACUUUAGGACGAGCCAGACCAGACCGUAGCGGUUGGGGAAAACCUGAGACAAAGUACACGGUAUAAUAAACUACAAAAUGAAACUUCGUUAUAUUGUUGUUGCAAGGAACCCAUGGCUUUGAGGUUUGAAGUUCCAGGAACCCUAAAUUCUCCACACCUACAGAAACAUAUUAAACCCAAAAUCUCAGUCUCGAUCAAAAAUAAAGAAACUAGAACAAAAUUUAAAAAGCAAAUUCGACUCACAA